CUUUACAGAAGUUUGAUGAUGGGCCUGCAGGCUAGAGAGUGCUUGAUCCUUCAGCUGAAAGCAGCAGGAGACAUCCAUGCCAGAUUCAAAGGCAGAGGUCAGGCCUGGAAAGGACAGCUGGAUUUUGCCUGUGUUUUUCUGACGUCAAAUAAGCUGUUAAGUGGCGAACACCUACAGCGCUGUCUGUGCUGCAGCUGCUUUCCAGAAGCGUCAGCAUUAUUUGGGCUAGUACAUAAAGCACCUGCAUAAGCAAACAGGAAGGCAACUGGAUACUUCAGCCUGGAAAAGCUCCUAAUGCAUCAAUGCUUAUAUGAGAGUCAACAGCAAGAAGUAAAUCCAUCUCUUGGCAUUAGCAAACAGAGUUAAAAAACUCUUCAGAAGUUGUCUGAACUUCUGAAAUAGCAUGAAACUGCAGUUGCGUGAAUGACUCUACAGCAGUGGUCUGAUCAGCCGUGCUCAGUAGUGCUCACUGGCUUGAACAUCACCUCUUAAUUUCAUUCCUAAAACGACCCUUCACAAUUGUUUGAGGAAAAGAAGCUCUUCCUGCCAAGAUCCUGGACUCAGCCUCUUCAAUGUGAAAUUGGGAAAUGUUUGAAGAAGCACAAGAUAAGCUUCUGCAGCAGGUAAUGCGUCAGCCCCAAAGUGAGAGUCUCGUGGCUGCAUUUCAGCAAAGAGGAUCUUCAGCCUCCUGUGAUCCAUUUAGGAGUUGUUGGUUGUAGCUUCUGGGGUGACAGUAUGGUAUGGUAUAGUUAGGCUUAGUAGAGUAGCUGUUUAAAACGUCUGAACAAGCACCUCGUGUCUGUUAGAUGCUGCUUACCUUUUCCUCCUUCCUUGGAACUCUCCUAAAGCAAAUUUUAUCUUCUGCUGCUACUUCUACUAUAUUCUUCACUUAAAUUCAGUGUGGAAAAAAAAAAAAACCACAACAACAUGCAUUUCAUAUAUCUUUGGAUAGAGAGGUUUUCAAAUGUCAUUUCAUUAUUCAGUAGUGACUUUAUAAAUAUGCAUGCAUGGGAGUAGCGUUGUUACAGCACAAAGCUGUGCAGUAGUUACGUGCUUUUGGUAUCUGCUUUAUCAGGGCCUGUGGCACACAUUCUUGGAAGACCUCCCAGUGUCAGUGUGUGAUGCUGGGCAAGGCUGAAGUUGAAACAGAACAAGGUCCUUUUUAUUUCUAAGUCUGGCACAUCUUCAGCAUUACAGGGCUGGCACUGCAUGGCAUGAAACACUGCCUCCAUGCUGAAAUACCUGUUGGAGAAGAGAGCUCAUUUUCAGUCACACUAAUGCAACUACCCAGACAACCAUAUUCCACAAUCUAAUUAAGCCUGAACAAGAGCAGAAACUUGAUACCUACAACUUAAAAACCAGCUGAUUAUUCCUCUUUGAGUAAUUGCUGGAAUAAAAUAAGCCCACGGCAUUUCUGGGAAAGCCUUAGGAAAUCUCUUUCGGGAACAACAUACAGUGCUUAGCUUUCUUCUGAUCUGUUUUGGACCAGUUUUAACAGAAUCUACACAACAAGAAUAAAUGGGACAACACUGUCUCCUAUUACAUGAAGUCUGUGAGCUUUCAUUUCAGUGAAUAAGCUGUGGUAAACAUAAAAUUUACAGAGUUAUUAUUCCAGCAAUUUGUACUAUGUAAAAACCAAAACAAUGCAUCACCAAAAAAACCCUCCACCAACCUAAAGCCCAAACAACAAAAACCCAAACAUCCCCUCCAAAACCAAACCAACCAACCAAGCUGCCCCCAAACCCUAACCCAAACACAGAACCCCACCUCAACCCCUCAAAAACCCGAACCCACCCUUUCAGAGAGCCAGUGAAAUAGCCUGGCUAUAGCAGGUCUACUCUCUAAAAAGCUGUGGUUAACAUUUUGGUUGACAUGGAGGUCCAGGAAGGAAGUCUUGGACCCAAAGGGAUGAACAGCCUGGAUGCUUUUCCAGUGAGGGGUAAACCACCUGGCAACCACCAGGCAUGGCUAUCAGCUCUCUACAGAAAGAGAAGUAAAAUUAAGUCGUGCUGCAGCUUGGUUAAAUAUUUGUGAAGCAGAUUUAACAUCCUUUUACCAAGUGAAUGUAUAAAGCUGUAAACAGCUGUAUAAAAAUAACCUCUGAAAACACUUUCUUUUUAUAGUUUUCCUUGAUAAAUGGCUCCAGAGCAGCAUAGGUAAUGCACAGGUACCAGGAACAUGAGGAAGCUGAUUACAGUUGUAGCUCAUAAUGCUGGUUAUUCAGGGUGUGUGACACUUGUUGUCAUUGGAGCUGGAUUUCAGUCAUUUGUAACCUUGUCUAAUUGUGUUUGUUCUCAUGUUUUCUAGCCUGACUGUUAACCUCAAGCUGCAUUUUAGUGGGAAACAUUGGUCAAAAGGCACAGCCUUCUCUAAAGAUCAUGUUUAGGAAUAAAAUCUUGGCUUUUAGUUCUUGUCUCCAAAGGCUUGGAAAAAUGAUUCAAAUACAGCAUUGGCAUGGUUCUCGCAGCAGGGAGAGACCUCUUGAUGUUCUCAUGCAAGCUAGAAAGUUUGGAUGAGUGGUAAUUUGCACAUGCUCCAUGUAGACUUAGAUGUUAGUUGCUAAAAUCUUGGUCUGUCUUAUCUGUUUUGUGCAUGCCUAAUAAAAUGAUUUUGUCUUGUUUCUGAUCAAGCUGUGUGUGCAUGAACUCUAAAGAAUCAUUAAACCUGAUUCAGCCCAUGCA